UUGAACAGUUUCAAUUUGUUUUUAAAUUGUUCUACAACAAUUUUUAAGAAUUAAUUACGGAUACUGUUCAAA
ensembl:miRNA mir-8198 ncRNA